UUGCUCCUGGAUUCAGCGGCGGACGGGUGAGUAAUGCCUAGGAAUCUGCCUGGUAGUGGGGGAUAACGUCCGGAAACGGGCGCUAAUACCGCAUACGUCCUGCGGGAGAAAGUGGGGGAUCUUCGGACCUCACGCUAUCAGAUGAGCCUAGGUCGGAUUAGCUAGUUGGUGGGGUAAAGGCCUACCAAGGCGACGAUCCGUAACUGGUCUGAGAGGAUGAUCAGUCACACUGGAACUGAGACACGGUCCAGACUCCUACGGGAGGCAGCAGUGGGGAAUAUUGGACAAUGGGCGAAAGCCUGAUCCAGCCAUGCCGCGUGUGUGAAGAAGGUCUUCGGAUUGUAAAGCACUUUAAGUUGGGAGGAAGGGCAGUAAGUUAAUACCUUGCUGUUUUGACGUUACCAACAGAAUAAGCACCGGCUAACUUCGUGCCAGCAGCCGCGGUAAUACGAAGGGUGCAAGCGUUAAUCGGAAUUACUGGGCGUAAAGCGCGCGUAGGUGGUUCAGCAAGUUGGAUGUGAAAUCCCCGGGCUCAACCUGGGAACUGCAUCCAAAACUACUGAGCUAGAGUACGGUAGAGGGUGGUGGAAUUUCCUGUGUAGCGGUGAAAUGCGUAGGUAUAGGAAGGAACACCAGUGGCGAAGGCGACCACCUGGACUGAUACUGACACUGAGGUGCGAAAGCGUGGGGAGCAAACAGGAUUAGAUA
rnacentral:rRNA from 1 species